GGGAGGAGAGAGAGAGGCUGACAGAGAGGCUCGCACGCUCUGAGGACAACAACAGGAGCCUGGAAGGCUCACUUAGCUCCACACAGGAAGAGAUAGACAGGUUGGAGGAAGUAAUAAUAAGUAUAGGAAAUAGUAGGAGUCUAAUCUCCAGACUCCUUCAUCCCAGCCUUGACUGUUAAUAUUCCAUUGAAUUAUAGCCUGGGGCAGUUUCUUUGGCUUGACAACGGUACUGCAGAACAGAUGGCUAAAACAGAACUGGCUCUCAGGCUGAUCGAGUUAGAUGUUGACAGACAAAUAGUAGACUUGAUGUGAGUUUAUUUCAAUGUCUAAGGUUGAAGGGAGAACUCGAUGCCUAUCAAAAACAGCUCACCAACAGCAAUGAGCUCCUCAAGUCAUUUUGUGAGGAGAUGCAGGGGUCCAAGCAGAUGAGGACAGCUGCAGUCAACCCCACUGAGUUUGGAGGCGGUCUCCCAGACAACCCCAAGCUAAAUCAACUCCUCUCUGAGAUCCAGCGAAUCAGAGCACAGCUUGCCGAUAAGGACACAAUACAGACUAAAGCCACAGAGGAGAAACACCCUGAGCAUUCUGGUUGGCCCGAGUGCCCUCCAAUGAUCAUCAACAUCAACUAUGUGGAGUGUGGAGCAUCCAGGCAUUCAAGCAGGAGCAGUCCUUCAGGGAGAAGAGAUCAUGCCAAGAAGGACAAUGACAACCUCUCACAAAGCAGCCUUACCUCCAGUAUAAAUGACCCGGUCCCAUCCUUAUUGAACAGUAGCCUAUCCCCACUGUGGGCAAAUGACAAGAGCCCUAAUGUCACUGGCCAGGAAGAUGAUUGCAUCAACAUGCAGAGACUGAUAUCAGAAGGGAAGACAAUGACCAAUAAGAUGAGUAGGCUACUACAGGGGUGCCACAACAACAACUCCAAUCCCACAUCACAGUCAGCAGUGAGUCCUUCGGAAUUUGAGUGUUUCAAUAUUAUGAUUAUUCAUAUUUUCCCCAAACCACAUUUGAGAGGUUAUGCUCACGUGAUUAAAUGAAUUUCUCCCAGAGCCAAGAGGUAGAGAUCCUCCCCAUGUAUCACCAUGUGAACACUGCAGCUCACCUCACAUGCAUUUUGUCUGAGCAACAUUGUCAGUGAAAAACAUCGAUUUUAUAACAGCAAUGCAUAUUCUUAACUUGUAUUCUCUACAUGUUGGUUCAGAAUUUCUACUUGGAAAAUCUGAAACUGAAGAAUAAAAUUGAGAUAAUGAAGAAGGAGCAAUCUCAAAACAAGAAGAUGCUUUCUGAGGCUGUCAAACGACUGAGAAGAGUGAACCUGGGGAAAGUAGGGAGAGUGAGUGAAUAGCAGCAAAUGAUCAUCAUUCCACUAAGCCAAUCUUUGUUUCAUGGAUUCAAAUAGAAAGAAUUGGAACUUCCCU
ensembl:lncRNA